rnacentral:rRNA from 1 species
UACGAAGGGUGCAAACGUUGCUCGGAAUUAUUGGGCGUAAAGCGCACGUAGGCGGCUUUGCAAGUCGGAUGUGAAAUCCCUCGGCUCAACCAAGGAAGUGCAUCCGAAACUGCAGAGCUUGAGUACCAAAGAGGAUCGCGGAAUUCCCGGUGUAGAGGUGAAAUUCGUAGAUAUCGGGAGGAACACCGGUGGCGAAGGCGGCAUCCUGGACCGGCAUUGACGCUGAGGCGCGAAAGCCAGGGGAGCAAACGGG